GAUGAACGCUAGCGGCAGGCCUAAUACAUGCAAGUCGGACGGGAUUUGGGAGCUUGCUCCUGAUGAGAGUGGCGCACGAGUGCGUAACACGUAUGUAACCUACCUUAACCAGGGGGAUAGACUCUCGAAAGAGAGAUAAACACAGCAUAAAAUAAUGAACUGGCAACUGUUUGUUAUCAAAUAUUAAUAGGGUUAAGAUGGGCAUGCGGAACAUUAGCUAGUUGGUAAGGUAAUGGCUUACCAAGGCUACGAUGUUUAGGGGAUCUGAGAGGAUGGCCGCCCGCACUGGUACUGAGACACGGACCAGACUCCUACGGGAGGCAGCGGUAAGGAAAAUUAGUCAAUGGGCGGGAGCCUGAACCAGCCAUGCCGCGUGCAGGAAGGCGGGCCUCUGGGUUGUAAACUGCUGUUGUACCGGAAUAAACCUUUGGUCGUGACCGAAGCUGAAUGUACGGUAAGAAUCAGGAUCGGCUAACUCCGUGCCAGCCGCCGCGGUAA
rnacentral:rRNA from 1 species